UCGGGUUGUAAAGCACUUUUGUCCGGAAAGAAAUCCUUGAUCCUAAUAUGGUCGGGGGAUGACGGUACCGGAAGAAUAAGCACCGGCUAACUACGUGCCAGCAGCCGCGGUAAUACGUAGGGUGCGAGCGUUAAUCGGAAUUACUGGGCGUAAAGCGUGCGCAGGCGGUUCGCUAAGACCGAUGUGAAAUCCCCGGGCUUAAACUGGGAAACUGCAUUGGUGACUGGCGAGCUAGAGUGUGGCAGAGGGGGGGUAGAAUUUCCACGUGUAGCAGUGAAAUGCGUAGAGAUGUGGAGGAAUACCGAUGGCGAAGGCAGCCCCCCUGGGCUAACACUGACGCUCAUGCACGAAAGCGUGGGGAGCAAACAGGAUUAGAUACCCUGGUAGUCCACGCCCUAAACGAUGUCAACUAGUUGUUGGGGAUUCAUUUCCUUAGUAACGUAGCUAACGCGUGAAGUUGACCGCCUGGGGAGUACGGUCGCAAGAUUAAAACUCAAAGGAAUUGACGGGGACCCGCACAAGCGGUGGAUGAUGUGGAUUAAUUCGAUGCAACGCGAAAAACCUUACCUACCCUUGACAUGGACGGAACUCCGCUG
rnacentral:rRNA from 1 species